rnacentral:rRNA from 1 species
CAGCCCUAAACGAUGCGCGUUAGGUGUAUCGGUGACCACGAGUCACCGAGGUGCCGAAGGGAAACCGUGAAACGUGCCGCCUGGGAAGUACGGUCGCAAGGCUGAAACUUAAAGGAAUUGGCGGGGGGAGCACCACAACGGGUGGAGCCUGCGGUUUAAUUGGACUCAACGCCGGGAAGCUUACCGGAUAAGACAGCGGAAUGAUUGCCGGGCUGAAGACUCUGCAUGACCAGCUGAGAGGAGGUGCAUGGCGUAGUCGUGU